rnacentral:rRNA from 1 species
GACGAACGCUGGCGGCGUGCUUAACACAUGCAAGUCGAACGGUGACGAGGAGCUUGCUCCUCCGAUCAGUGGCGAACGGGUGAGUAACACGUGAGUAACCUGCCCCAGACUCUGGGAUAACAGUUGGAAACAGCUGCUAAUACCGGAUACGAGACGGAGAGGCAUCUCUACCGUCUGGAAAGUUUUUCGGUCUGGGAUGGACUCGCGGCCUAUCAGCUUGUUGGUGAGGUAAUGGCUCACCAAGGCGACGACGGGUAGCCGGCCUGAGAGGGCGACCGGCCACACUGGGACUGAGACACGGCCCAGACUCCUACGGGAGGCAGCAGUGGGGAAUAUUGCGCAAUGGACGGAAGUCUGACGCAGCGACGCCGCGUGAGCGAUGAAGGUCUUCGGAUCGUAAAGCUCUGUCCUUGGGGAAGAAGGCGAAAGCUUGACGGUACCCAAGAAGAAAGCCCCGGCUAACUACGUG